AUGGUCGCUAUAGAAGAGCAUUUUGCUGAUGCAAGCAGUGGCCCUAGCACACAUGACAAGAACACUAGGAAGAAGAGGAUGGCCAAAGUUCCAGCCAUAAAAAAUACCAGGGCAAAGAAGCAAAAGGUCGACAAGGCUGUAGAAAUGUAUGAGAAGUUUGUAAUGCAUGGAAAACCAUUGAGGAAAUCACAACCCAAUGAACAAGUGACACCUUUCACCAAGGUAGGUGGAUUUUUCAUUGGAUACAAUAAAAUCCUUGUAUGCUUCAAGCCUCGCGGGGAUAUGAAUGAUGAGGUUAUGUCCCUAUGUAUCGAGAUGAACAACCUCGCAUCCCAUCCAGCAAAAGAAAGGGAUGUGAAGAAAUACAUCUUCUCAGUCCACGCGGGGAUCCUACUAAAACAAGACCCAUCAACCUUCCAACCAGCAAAACUCAUGGCUGAGCUUGAAAGGGCUAUGAAAAUGUUCAAGGUUCAAAAGUUUGACCUCCUUUUUUUCACAAUUGUGCAUAAUCGCCAUUGGAUAGUUGUUUGCGCAAACUUGCUUCACAAGAAGUGGAAUGUAUUUGACUCAAUCCAUUCAAAAGGAAAACAAUCUCCUUUGAAGAAGCAAGCCAAUAACCUGAUCACAAACUUUGCAACCCUCGCACAAGAGUGCAGCGAAUUCAAUGUCAAUGUUGGAUCCUUCGCCCGUGUUGACCUAGAGGAUUACCCAAAGCAAGAUACCCUAUGUGAUUGUGGCUUUUUUGGGCUCAAAUAUGUGGAGAACUAUGAUGGGAAGUCAAUGAGAGAGUUCAAGCAGGAAGACAUGGCGCGAUACCGCAUCGAUGUGGCAUACAACCUUUUCAGUCACCCAAUGAACAAUGCCCCAAAGGAGCGGGCGUUCAAGGAUGAGUUGGCGGCUUGA
rnacentral:rRNA from 1 species